UUUUGCUUCAAAAAUUUUUUUUCCCAUUUUCUUCUUCUAAAACCUAGGUGUGUCUUAUGGUCUGGUGCGUCUUAUAGUCCUAAAAAUAUGAUAAGUCCUUGGAAGGCUGAGUUUUAUUACUGUCUAGUGCCUAAGAAUACUAUUACCUAUUCUUUAAAAAAUUUUUUUCAUUCCAAAUGAAUAUUUAUUGAUCCCGUAUUUUAAAUAAGCACUGAGAUGAAGUUGUUGCUUUCCCUGGACGUGUGGGCUCCACUGGUGCUCCAGUCCUGGGCUCUUCUGAAUGAUCACCAGUGACACUUGCUGUGGCCUUCUCAGUGGUCUCUUCCACAGAGCUGGGGAUGUUUGAUUCCAUGUCAGUAGACAAUUGCAAAGCCUGUGUAUGCUCCAAGUAAACGUCAGUGGUGACUGGCUGUAUACCACCACUGAGGUCUAGGUCAGAGGCUGACUUUGGGUCAGCAGUUGGCUUUAGUUCAGCCUGAAACUCUGCGUCACUGAAAAUGGCUGCGUCAUCGGUGAUAUGUGGCAGU